rnacentral:rRNA from 1 species
AUGAACGCUGGCGGCGUGCCUAAUACAUGCAAGUCGAGCGAACGGACGAGAAGCUUGCUUUUCUGAUGUUAGCGGCGGACGGGUGAGUAACACGUGGAUAACCUACCUAUAAGACUGGGAUAACUUCGGGAAACCGGAGCUAAUACCGGAUAAUAUUUUGAACCGCAUGGUUCAAAAGUGAAAGACGGUCUUGCUGUCACUUAUAGAUGGAUCCGCGCUGCAUUAGCUAGUUGGUAAGGUAACGGCUUACCAAGGCAACGAUGCAUAGCCGACCUGAGAGGGUGAUCGGCCACACUGGAACUGAGACACGGUCCAGACUCCUACGGGAGGCAGCAGUAGGGAAUCUUCCGCAAUGGGCGAAAGCCUGACGGAGCAACGCCGCGUGAGUGAUGAAGGUCUUCGGAUCGUAAAACUCUGUUAUUAGGGAAGAACAUAUGUGUAAGUAACUGUGCACAUCUUGACGGUACCUAAUCAGAAAGCCACGGCUAACUACGUGCCAGCAGCCGCGGUAAUACGUAGGUGGCAAGCGUUAUCCGGAAUUAUUGGGCGUAAAGCGCGCGUAGGCGGUUUUUUAAGUCUGAUGUGAAAGCCCACGGCUCAACCGUGGAGGGUCAUUGGAAACUGGAAAACUUGAGUGCAGAAGAGGAAAGUGGAAUUCCAUGUGUAGCGGUGAAAUGCGCAGAGAUAUGGAGGAACACCAGUGGCGAAGGCGACUUUCUGGUCUGUAACUGACGCUGAUGUGCGAAAGCGUGGGGAUCAAACAGGAUUAGAUACCCUGGUAGUCCACGCCGUAAACGAUGAGUGCUAAGUGUUAGGGGGUUUCCGCCCCUUAGUGCUGCAGCUAACGCAUUAAGCACUCCGCCUGGGGAGUACGACCGCAAGGUUGAAACUCAAAGGAAUUGACGGGGACCCGCACAAGCGGUGGAGCAUGUGGUUUAAUUCGAAGCAACGCGAAGAACCUUACCAAAUCUUGACAUCCUUUGACAACUCUAGAGAUAGAGCCUUCCCCUUCGGGGGACAAAGUGACAGGUGGUGCAUGGUUGUCGUCAGCUCGUGUCGUGAGAUGUUGGGUUAAGUCCCGCAACGAGCGCAACCCUUAAGCUUAGUUGCCAUCAUUAAGUUGGGCACUCUAAGUUGACUGCCGGUGACAAACCGGAGGAAGGUGGGGAUGACGUCAAAUCAUCAUGCCCCUUAUGAUUUGGGCUACACACGUGCUACAAUGGACAAUACAAAGGGCAGCGAAACCGCGAGGUCAAGCAAAUCCCAUAAAGUUGUUCUCAGUUCGGAUUGUAGUCUGCAACUCGACUACAUGAAGCUGGAAUCGCUAGUAAUCGUAGAUCAGCAUGCUACGGUGAAUACGUUCCCGGGUCUUGUACACACCGCCCGUCACACCACGAGAGUUUGUAACACCCGAAGCCGGUGGAGUAACCUUUUAGGAGCUAGCCGUCGAAGGUGGGACAAAUGAUUGGGGUG